rnacentral:rRNA from 1 species
GUGAAGAAGGCCUUCGGGUUGUAAAGCACUUUCAAUAGGGAGAAAAGGCCCGCGGUUAAUAGCCGUGGGAGUUGAUGUUACCUAUAGAAGAAGCACCGGCUAACUCCGUGCCAGCAGCCGCGGUAAUACGGAGGGUGCGAGCGUUAAUCGGAAUUACUGGGCGUAAAGCGCGCGUAGGCGGCCUGUUAAGUCAGCUGUGAAAGCCCCGGGCUCAACCUGGGAAUUGCAGUUGAUACUGUCAGGCUGGAGUACGAGAGAGGGAGGUAGAAUUCCAUGUGUAGCGGUGAAAUGCGUAGAUAUAUGGAGGAAUACCAGUGGCGAAGGCGGCCUCCUGGCUCGAUACUGACGCUGAGGUGCGAAAGCGUGGGUAGCAAACAGGAUUAGAUACCCUGGUAGUCCGCGCCGUAAACGAUGUCUACUAGCCGUUGGGUGACUUGAUUGCCUAGCGGCGCAGCUAACGCAUUAAGUAGACCGCCUGGGGAGUACGGCCGCAAGGUUG